rnacentral:ncRNA from 1 species
UGGGCGGUAUUUAUUAAAAGCUGUACCAAUAUUAUUUAUAUACAUAUAUCUGCUUAUAUCAUUUGAAUAAGACAGUCAA